CUUUCAGCUUGCUGUACAGACUGUUGCCGCGCUGGCUGGCUAGGUCGCUCUCCAUCAUGUCUGUGUAAAGAAAGCAAGAGUGCCUAAGGAGGUGACCUGGACUGUGAACAUCCACCCUGACCAGCCUGGAAGCCAACAGUUAAUCAUACAGCAGAAUCCAGAGAAAUUCAACAAGGGCCAUUAGGAGUGAAAGCAUGCAAACUAGAAGCUGAGGAGUGCUAUGUUGUGAAAUACUGUCAACUGGACAUGCUAUGGCUAUGGACACUCACGAACUGUGGAUAUCUACAGCUACAUCAAUACAGUGAUAAAAAUUGCAACAUUGAUAGAGGAGAUGGUGUCAAGGCUCCACCCAUUACUGAGGAGGUUUUGGCAGCUGAUAGCUGAUUUGAAAGAACUCCUUGGAGAUGACGGCUCCAUCUAGGACUUGCCUAGGAAAAGAAGCAAUGAGGGCAGAUCACUGUGUAACGCUAGAUAGCCUUCAUCCAGUAGCUGUUCGAAGCAAAAACAGGCACCCACAGGCACGUGGAUGGAACUAGAAGAAACCAUUCUGAGUGAGGUAACCCAGUCGCAAAAAGACAGAAAUGAGCCUUCAUCAGCAGCUGAUGGAAGCAGAAGAAGACACCCACAGCUAAACACUGAGCUGAACUCUGGAAUCCAGUUGCAGAGAGGGAGGAGUGAUGAGCAAAGGGGUCAAGACCAGGCUGGAGAAACCCACAGAAACAGCUGACCUGAACAUGGAGUUGCUCAUGGACCACAGACUGAUAGCUGGGAAACCAGCAUAGGACUGUUCCAGACCUCUUUAAUGAGCAUGUCAGUUUGGAGGUCUGGGUAAUCCAUGGGGCCUCUGGUAGUGGAUCAGUAUUUAUCCCUAGUACACAAAUGGACUUUGGGUGCCCAAUCCACAUAGAGGGAUACUCUCCCAGCCUAGACACAAAGAGAAGGGUCUAGGCUCUGCUCUAAAUGAUAUAAUAGACUUUGUACAUCCCCCAUGGAAGGCUCACCUUCCCUGGGGAGCAGAAAGGGAAAGGGAUAGGGGGUCAGUUAGGGACAUGGGAUUGACAUGUAAAACAAGCUUGUUUCUAAUUUAAAUAAAAAUUCACUUAAAAAAGAAGAACUUCUUCAGAAAUGGUAAAAGAAAAUGUACAAUUAAAGUGAUGGUUGAAGAUAUGGAUUUCCUCCCCACAAAUAACAUAUAAAAGGUAAAACUUGUCACUUUAGAGAAGGGAAAUCUAAAUAACACUAGCCUAGUGUAGUGAUCAAAAAUCAACAUCAACCAAAAGUCCUAUUGAUACCACAUUUUCUCAACGCCUUAGUCUAAACCAGAAGAAAGCAGACAAAUCCCAAAUGAGGGUCCUAUACACAAUCUGUUUAUUGCCUUUAAAGGGUUUUCAAAUUUGUCAAAAGCAAGGGAGUCUAAGGGCCAGCUAUGAAGUGGA
rnacentral:lncRNA from 1 species